AUAUUUUAUUGACCAUGACAAUGUUAAUACUGAUAAAUAAAAUGUCAUUAGACCACUAAUAGUUAAUAAUUAUAUUAAUUAAUAGAUUUAUGACUUGUGUUUAAAGUUCCAAUAGUUUAAUGGAUAGCCUGUUUCAUUGUGGAUUACUUGACUACGGGUCGAGUUACAUAAAUAUAUUCCCGGAAAAAGAAAGAACACUUUAAACCGGUCUUCUUCCAAACCGGCAGGUACAGUGUCAAAAAUAACAAACAUAGAAAGAAAAGUCAAACUUUGAGUCCGCUCUGAACAUGAGGCGUACGGUUGCUCGGUGUACAAAACUUAUUAUUCGCUACUGCACAGCCGACGUGUAGCAACGUCAGAACGGACUAGAAGUUUUGCGCAUACUAUUACUUCAGUUAACUGCCGCGUUGGUCCAGUGAUUAGCAUAUGUGGUUUAGGAUUACAAGUUCGAAUACUGGGACGUGCAAUAUGUUAUACUAAGUUAUUCUUUCUUCUUGGAAACUUUUAGUUUCAUUCUUAGUCUGCAGUUGGGAAAUUGGUGAUGUUGGCGUCGUUCAAGUCAUUAUCAUUAACAUCUGAAAGUGGUCGUUUCUGAGUUUGACAUAAUCAUCCUAAGCCCGCCAACCCACAUCGGAGCAGCAUGGUGGGCCUAAGCUCUAUAUCCACUCUCCUAUUAGGAUAAAAGGCUCUGGACUAAUUAAAUAGGUACGGUCGUGUAUGCGGCAUGCGGGCAAGACUCACCGGCCCCAAUAACAUAAUAUAUACAUAUUAUUAUAAGUUGUUUAAAAACAUGUGCUACUUGGAACUUGAGAACUGUUACCAUGAUAAAAUUAGAGGUAAACAUCAACUUUUAAUAUUACUUCUGUGGUUUGGUGGUGGUGUUGGUAGUAACUAAAACCUAGUAGACCUAGAGCGAACAUCGAAAUCUUCAUUUACCUGCCCACUACUGUUAAUCUGCCUGGUGGAUCCCUGUGAGCUUGGGGCGGUGUGCUGGUAAGAUAACCGUACAUCCGACUCAUGAGGGACCUAUCAUAGAUAGAAUAACGCAAUGGUUAGCAAGACUUAAUGCCACUACUACGCAAAAAGAUUAAAAUAAAAAAUCAAUACAAAGAAA